rnacentral:rRNA from 1 species
GGAUCCAGACUUUGAUUAUGGCUCAGGAUGAACGCUAGCGGCAGGCUUAACACAUGCAAGUCGAGGGGCAGCGCGGGGCAGCAAUGUUCUGGCGGCGACCGGCGGAAGGGUGCGUAACGCGUGAGCGACAUGCCCGUUGCCCGGGGACAACCGGUGGAAACGCCGACUAAUCCCCGAUGGGACGGAGGCCCUCAUGGGUCUCCGUUGAAAGUUACGGCGGCGACGGAUUGGCUCGCGUCCGAUUAGCUUGUUGGCGGGGUAACGGCCCACCAAGGCUACGAUCGGUAGGGGUUCUGAGAGGAAGGUCCCCCACAAUGGAACUGAGACACGGUCCAUACUCCUACGGGAGGCAGCAGUGAGGAAUAUUGGUCAAUGGGCGGAAGCCUGAACCAGCCAUGCCGCGUGCGGGAAGGAGGCCCUAUGGGCUGUGAACCGCUUUUGCCUGGGGGCAAUAAGGGCGUCGUGCACGUCCGAUGAGAGUACCAGGCGAAUAAGCAUCGGCUAACUCCGUGCCAGCAGCCGCGGUAAUACGGGGGAUGCGAGCGUUAUCCGGAUUCAUUGGGUUUAAAGGGUGCGUAGGCUGUGCGUCAAGUCAGGGGUGAAAUUCCGGGGCUCAACUCCGGGGCUGCCCUUGAUACUGUCGCGCUGGAGUGCGGAUGCCGCCGGAGGAAUGAGUGGUGUAGCGGUGAAAUGCUUAGAUAUCACUCAGAACACCGAUUGCGAAGGCAUCUGGCGAAUCCGUAACUGACGCUGA